GUCGGGUCCGCGCCCCUGCCGCCAACGUGUGCGCGCGGAUGCUGGUGACGAGGAUAAAUGGGAGGACGCCGCCGCCACCGAUGUCAGAGGAGGAGGAAGGGGAGGCGCUUCUCUGGCUAGAUCCGUGACCCCCACGUCGCCAUCUAUGUCCACCCUCCUUGACAGAUCGAUGGAGCGGACGUCGCCGAGCUCCACGCCUUCUCGUCUCCCUCUCGGCAGAGGGUGUCCGCCGGAGAUGGGUUCUUGCGGGUCAAGGGCGUCGGGCUGCCCAAGAAGCUGCGCCUCGCCUCGUCGCCGCCGUCCAAGGACAAGAAUGUUGUCGAUGGCUUUCUGGUUGGUGUCGACCUCAAGAUCGAGUUGUUCGUCCCAAGUGGCGGCGGGCGUCCUCGUCGAGGUCGUUCUUGUCGUUAACUUCAUCUCCAACCCCAUCCACAUGUGUACCAGCUUCUGGAGUGCCCAAUUUGCUUCCUGGAAUUGAUUUUCGCUAGGAACAUAACCUUCAACGGUUUGUAGCUGAAGGAGAGCAGAGUAAGGAUGCAACAAAAGCUUAUAUGGCAUUCCAAGUGCGUCUCUGCAUUCCUUAAGAAAUUGUUGAUGAUGUUCAUACUGACAUCUGCGGCCAAUUGUUUGAAAAGGUUGUCAAGGAAGCAAUUUUGUCAGUUGAUGGCACAACGUUGAUAAACGAGAGGCAGUUAGGAAAGCAUCACAGGGUCUAAACUUGAAAAAGGAGGCUGCUAUGACCAUCUUUAGUAAAGAAAGUACGAAAAUUAUUCCUGAACUACAUUCAGAAAGCAAAAGCAGCUGGGAACUGCAUUGAACAGGCAAAAGAAUUGAAGAAGUUAAUUUCCUCCUUGCAGAGACCCAGGGAGCAAAUAGCGGAUGCAGAGGCUCUACUGGACAUUACAACCACCUUGGUAAAAUCUGUGAGGUCCCAGUCAAGUGAAGGAAUCACACCUUCUGAUUUCGUAACAGCAUUGCUGAAGAAAUUUGGGCAGCAAGCAACCCUUGAUUCUGAGCCUGGCUCAUUGCGCUAGGUUGAUAUUGGGCUUUCUUAUUCACAUGCCUUCAGGGCUGCACCUGGAUGCUGCACCAUGCUUGGACCCAUGGAUAUGGAAGUAAAACAGCGUAAGCUUUCAGUUUUUAAUUGAAAAAGAAGUAGGCCAACUGAAAAAACUUGUCCUGAAGAGCUUGCUGAUUCUUUGGAGGGAGCAAAGCCAGACACUAGCCGAAAUGUGACUGUUGUAUUUUUUUUUGAAAGAUCCAGCAAAAUGUUGGCUUGAUUCGAUUUAGCAGGAAGCAACGGAAGAACAACAAUAUGAAGAUCCGAAGAUCAAAGAAAAAGAAAAACAACAGCCCUAUUAGCUGCCGAGCUACCCACCACAGUCAGCACCACUACAAAGCAAAAAGGGCAUGUCCUAGGCUAAGCGUGACCGCCGCGUCACUUGACCAACGCCGGUAUCCUCCGGCGACAACAGCAGCUCCAACUAAGACUUUCUUUGUCAACGCACCAUCCACCCUUGAAGCAGAGUGCAGGCAGAUGGCGGAACUCGGUCGGUCCCAGAAAAAGCUUCGUCUUGGACUUAUCAGUGAUGGCGUACAUUGCGUCUGGAGCUUCACCAAAAUCAGCGGCGAGCACCGGAGGAGCGCCAUAUAGAACCUCCAAGUAGUGUCUCAAAAACAUGAUGCUCCCAACAGAGGAACGACGUCGGAGAUGCCGUCAUCACGCCGAUCCAACCGGACCUAGGCUUUCGCCCGGAGACACUACCAACCAAGCCCGAGGAAGAUGCCGACACACCUCGGUGGCGCCUCCAAGGAGGAAAAUGACACCCUCAGGCGCCAUCGGCACCGGCUCUUGUUGUGCAGGACUUUCGUCCGUAUCGUCGUCGCACACCUCCGCUCAAGCCCUACAGAGCUCGUCCAUGUCGUCUUUACAUCCAACACAAGACAAUGAUUUAGACAGCUUCGGGCCCCGGAAAACAUCAUCCGGAAUAGCCCUACAUGUUGUUUGCGGCUAGAUCUC